rnacentral:misc_RNA from 1 species
CCACGAGCCGUUGCUGGCGAAGGAAGUUCACGUCCACCCCGGACCGGGCGCACGACCGAAGACCAUUCCGCCGAAGCCGGCGAAAGUGGCCAAGGCAAAAGCAUCGCGCGCAAAGGCUCCUGCGGCUUUNNNNNCAGUCACGUCCACCCAUAGAAACAAAGGCGCCAGAUAUUUUUUGGCGCCUUUGCCGUUAAGCACUCUUUUUUGAGGUGUAGUGGCCAGCGAAGCGCUGGCGCAGUG